CCCUUAGAUGUUCUGGGCAGCACGCGCGCUACAAUGGUCUUCGCAAACGGAUGCAUUCUCGAAGGAGAAUGCCAAUCUUGGAAUCUAUGCCUUGGUCGGGACAGUUGCUUGCAAUUUUUCGACUCGAACCAGGAAUUCCUUGUAAUCGUGAUUCAUCACAUCACGAUGAUUACGUCCCUGCCCUUUGUACACACCGCCCGUCGCUCCUACCGAUCGAAGAGUUAGGUGAAUUGUUUUGAUCGAUAAGAUUUGACUAUGGUCAACUCUCGUUGUGAAAUUCUGUGAAUCUGACUGUUUAGAGGAAGGAAAAGUCGUAACA
rnacentral:rRNA from 1 species